rnacentral:lncRNA from 1 species
GUUCUGUCCCUAAGCCAUCUUUACCAGAGUUGGCGGCAUAUAGAUACCCAAAUUUCGAUAGUGUAGCUUUCUCAGGCGGUCACUUUUCAUUUGCUCAAUAUCA